AAGAAAGUGACAGAGCGGCCAUGUGAUUGGCUUGAAACCAGUAGAUGGGGGUUCGAUUCCCUCCUUUCUCG
rnacentral:tRNA from 1 species